rnacentral:lncRNA from 1 species
AGGAGCUCUAUUUACAGCACUGGUGGUCAUAUAUGCACUCACUUCUGGGAUUGCGGGAUACACAGCUGCUUCUUUCUACUGUCAGCUAGAAGGAACAAACUGGGUAUGCUUGAAUUAACUAUGUCUUGGGCUAUUAUAACUUCUAGCAUGAUCUUUCUAAAAACUGGAUGUUGUGAAAUAAUUUAUCUUCAAAUUGUUGGUUUGACAGGUGAGGAAUCUGUUGCUGACUGGAUGCCUUUUCUGUGGUCCUCUGUUUCUGACAUUCUGCUUCCUGAACACUGUUGCCAUUGCUUACAAUGCGACAGCAGCACUGCCAUUUGGCACAAUUGUGGUGAUAGUCCUCAUAUGGACAUUAGUCACAUCACCUCUACUUGUGUUGGGAGGUAUUGCUGGUAAAAACAGCAAGGCAGAGUUCCAAGCUCCUUGUCGUACGACUAAGUACCCUCGAGAGAUCCCACCACUACCUUGGUAUAGGAGUGCUAUUCCACAGAUGGCAAUGGCAGGUUUCCUGCCAUUUAGUGCCAUCUACAUUGAGCUUUACUAUAUUUUUGCCAGUGUUUGGGGCCACAGGAUUUACACAAUAUACAGCAUCCUCUUUAUUGUCUUUAUCAUUCUGUUGAUUGUUACUGCUUUCAUAACUGUGGCUUUGACUUACUUCCAACUUGCUGCUGAAGAUCAUGAAUGGUGGUGGAGGUAUGUAAACUCUCUUGUCUAUUUUGAUUUUAUUUUUUUUCCCUUUUCAUCUCUUUAAUAAUCACAAUGUGAAAUUUUGAACUUGUUAUUUCUUGUAGUUUUUUUUUUAGGAGCUCUAUUUACGGCACUGGUGGUCAUAUAUGCACUCACUUCUGGGAUUGCGGGAUACACAGCUGCUUCUUUCUACUGUCAGCUAGAAGGAACAAACUGGGUAUGCUUGAAUUAACUAUGUCUUGGGCUAUUAUAACUUCUAGGCAUGAUCUUUCUAAAAACUGGAUGUUGUGAAAUAAUUUAUCUUCAAAUUGUUGGUUUGACAGGUGAGGAAUCUGUUGCUGACUGGAUGCCUUUUCUGUGGUCCUCUGUUUCUGACAUUCUGCUUCCUGAACACUGUUGCCAUUGCUUACAAUGCGACAGCAGCACUGCCAUUUGGCACAAUUGUGGUGAUAGUCCUCAUAUGGACAUUAGUCACAUCACCUCUACUUGUGUUGGGAGGUAUUGCUGGUAAAAACAGCAAGGCAGAGUUCCAAGCUCCUUGUCGUACGACCAAGUACCCUCGAGAGAUCCCACCACUACCUUGGUAUAGGAGUGCUAUUCCUCAGAUGGCAAUGGCAGGUUUCCUGCCAUUUAGUGCCAUCUACAUUGAGCUUUACUAUAUUUUUGCCAGUGUUUGGGGCCACAGGAUUUACACAAUAUACAGCAUCCUCUUUAUUGUCUUUAUCAUUC